AUUGAACGCUGGCGGCAGGCCUAACACAUGCAAGUCGAGCGAGCGGCGGACGGGUGAGUAAUGUAUGGGGACUGCCCGAUAGAGGGGGAUAACUACUGGAAACGGUGGCUAAUACCGCAUACUGUCGGACUACACAUAUGGGAUUAGCUAGUAGGUAAGGUAAUAGCUUACCUAGGCGACGAUCCCUAGCUGGUCUGAGAGGACGAUCAGCCAGACUGGGACUGAGACACGGCCCAGACUCCUACGGAGGCAGCAGUGGGGAAUAGUGCACAAUGGGCGAAAGCCGGAUGGAGCCAUGCGGGGUGUAUGAAGAAGGCCCUAGGGUUGUAAAGUACGUUCAGUCGGGAGGCGUUACCGACAGAGGAAGCACCGGCGAACUCCGUGCCAGCCGCCGCGGUAAUAC
rnacentral:rRNA from 1 species